rnacentral:rRNA from 1 species
CCACCUGAUCCCAUCUCGAACUCAGAAGUGAAACGGUGUAUCGCCGAUGAUAGUGUGGGGCCUCCCCAUGUGAAAGUAGGUCACUGCCAGGA